GACGAACGCUGGCGGCGUGCCUAAUACAUGCAAGUAGAACGCUGAAGGAGGAGCUUACUUCUCUGGAUGAGUUGCGAACGGGUGAGUAACGCGUAGGUAACCUGCCUGGUAGCGGGGGAUAACUAUUGGAAACGAUAGCUAAUACCGCAUAAGAGUAGAUGUUGCAUGACAUUUACUUAAAAGGUGCAAUUGCACCACUACCAGAUGGACCUGCGUUGUAUUAGCUAGUUGGUGGGGUAACGGCUUACCAAGGCGACGAUACAUAGCCGACCUGAGAGGGUGAUCGGCCACACUGGGACUGAGACACGGCCCAGUCUCCUACGGAAGGCAGCAGUAGGGAAUCUUCGGCAAUGGACGGAAGUCUGACCGAGAAACGCCGCGUGAGUGAAGAAGGUAUUCGGAUCGUAAAGCUCUGUUGUAAGAGAAGAACGAGUGUGAGAGUGGAAAGUUCACACUGUGACGGUAUCUUACCAGAAAGGGACGGCUAACUACGUGCCAGCAGCCGCGGUAA
rnacentral:rRNA from 1 species